UACAGAUUAAUAAUUCAUUUAUUAUUAUUUAGAAACGAGAUUUGUUCAGCCUCAGAAUGCUGGAUUCCGUCCAUUGCCAGGUUUUAGUGCUCGUCCUGUUUCGAACUCUGACUUACCAUUUGGAAAAUGGAAGUUUUUCAAUGAAGAGAAAUAUGAUCAAGAAUGUCCACCACUUUACUUAAUAGCCAAGGAGUGUGCUGCUUUAGGGGGAAUUAUGCCAGAAGGAAAUCUAAAAAAUAUUCUUCUAAGGGCUUGCAAUUGGCUAGAAAUUUGUUAUUCAUGUG